rnacentral:rRNA from 1 species
CCUAAAAUUAGCUUGUUGGUGAGGUAAUGGCUUACCAAGGCAAUGAUCAGUAGCUGGUCUGAGAGGAUGAUCAGCCACACUGGGACUGAGACACGGCCCAGACUCCUACGGGAGGCAGCAGUGAGGAAUUUUCCGCAAUGGGCGACAGCCUGACGGAGCAAUGCCGCGUGAAGGAUGAAGGCCUAUGGGUUGUAAACUUCUUUUCUCAGAGAAGAAGCAUUGACGGUAUCUGAGGAAUAAGCAUCGGCUAACUCUGUGCCAGCAGCCGCGGUAAGACAGAGGAUGCAAGCGUUAUCCGGAAUGAUUGGGCGUAAAGCGUCUGUAGGUGGCUUAAAAAGUCUCCUGUCAAAGAUCAGGGCUUAACCCUGGGCCGGCAGGAGAAACUCUUAGGCUAGAGUUUGGUAGGGGCAGAGGGAAUUCCCGGUGGAGCGGUGAAAUGCGUAUAGAUCGGGAGGAACACCAAAGGCGAAAGGCCUCAACG